rnacentral:rRNA from 1 species
CAGCACCGCGGGAAUACAGAGGGUGCGAGCGUUAAUCGGAUUUACUGGGCGUAAAGCGUGCGUAGGCGGCUUUUUAAGUCGGAUGUGAAAUCCCUGAGCUUAACUUAGGAAUUGCAUUCGAUACUGGGAAGCUAGAGUAUGGGAGAGGAUGGUAGAAUUCCAGGUGUAGCGGUGAAAUGCGUAGAGAUCUGGAGGAAUACCGAUGGCGAAGGCAGCCAUCUGGCCUAAUACUGACGCUGAGGUACGAAAGCAUGGGGAGCAAACAGGAUUAGAUACCCCCGUAGUCCCUGUCUCUUAUACA